UACAGAGGUCCCGAGCGUUGUUCGGAUUUAUUGGGCGUAAGGGUGCGUAGGCGGCGGAGUAAGUUGGGUGUGAAAUCCCGAGGCUCAACCUCGGAAUUGCAUUCAAUACUGCUUCGCUCGAGUACUGGAGAGGAGGCUGGAAUUUACGGUGUAGCAGUGAAAUGCGUAGAUAUCGUAAGGAAGGCCGGUGGCGAAAGCGAGCCUCUGGACAGUUACUGACGCUGAUGCACGAAGGCCAGGGGAGCAAACGGG
rnacentral:rRNA from 1 species